CGUCGCUGUUUAGAGGAGGGGUUUUGUCGACACGUGUCGACUCGCCAGCCGUUUGAUCUAAAUCCACUUAUUUUCACUGGGCUUUUAUUACAUUUACCAGUAAAGCCCAAUCCUAAAUCCAAUUAGGUUUCGUCUUCCGCUUUCCUCUUGCUCCUGCGAAAUCGACGACGAAAUUCACAGAGACUUAAAGCGCCCUUUGAUCUCCACAACAUCUCAACCAUCCUUUAAUCCGUUCUUUAUUUCCAGUUUUCCCUUGAUUAAUCCACUCCUCCCACUUGAAGAUUUAGAUCUACCUCUUCGUUUCCCCCAGUAACCGGCUGAAGCUUCAGCUUUAAAUAUCGACCUUCCUAAGAUGCACAAUUCAACUCCUUCUCUAUCUCUCUCUCGCUUCCUCCAACUUCAUUUGUGUUUUUGCUUUUUAUUUUGGUUUGAUCCAGAGCUCGAUUUGGUUUCGUUCUUUAAUUCUCCAUUGCAGUGAGUGCUGAAGGUGAAAGAACAAGUUGUAGCAGGGACGAUGAGUCUGUGAAGAAGAAGCUUUCCCUAGCUUGAAAACCGUCAUAUGCUUGCAGAGGGAUCGAAUGUUGAUGGAGUAUUGGAGCGCUGGGGAAAGGUUAAGCCGGUAUCAUGGAAGCUUGGGAUGAAGAAGUUAGAGAUGAUUGGAUUAAAAAGGACUUGACAAUUUGGUUUGGUGUCAAUAAGUAUGCCUUCAAGAUCAAUUCCUAUAUGACACAAGUUUAGAGACCUUUAUUGUCGAAACAACAUGUUCAUAUAGUUAAAGUUUCAUCUUCUUUUGCA